rnacentral:lncRNA from 1 species
UCCUAGCUAUUUUUACUUUCCACCUUGUCAUGUGGGUCCCACCAUGAGGUAAGAAAGAGAGAACUAAAACUUCUCUUAAAGGGAGAGCACUUUCACGUUAAAAUUGGUGUGGGUUGCACCUUGGGUUGCUUUAUUUUAAUUUUAUUCUUGAUAUGUUUCAUCUUGCAUGAUUGAAAAUUUAAANCUUUUGUUUCUCAUUUUUCCUUCUCCUUCCAAGUUAGGUUUCAAUGCAUGCCAUGGGUCUUAUAUUAUUCCUCUUCAUUUUUGCAUGGGGUGGGCCACAUGAAUUCUAGACCUAGGAUGCUUGUAAGUGACCUUGGAGUUUCUUGGAGAGGUUAAACAUUGCAUUAAAAAUGGUAGGCUCCAUAAAUGGGUAUUUUAGGGGCAUUUAAACACACUUUAAACCUACCAUUUACACACAUUAAAGAGAGGUUUUAUGGGUGUUAAUGUGGAGUUAGGAAUGGGAAAAAUCUGAAAUGGUCUAAGGAUGCCCUUGGUAGUGACCUUGAGUGGGGGAUUAAGGGUUAGAAAGGUUUAGGUUUGAUUUUAUUUAAGUGUGUAAUUUUAAGUUAGUUAGAUGGUAUUAAAAACUUGGUGAGAGAGUGGAAAAGAAAGAGAAAGCCGUAAGUUGAGGGGAGAGAAACAUUUCUUUGUGAGAAACAACCAAGUUGGUGAGAGAAAGAAAGUACUCAACCUAGCUUUGGAGUUGGAAACUUGAAAGGAACCUAGAAGGGUGAAGGGCUUGGAGUCUAAAGAAGGAAAGAAACCUAAGAACCUUGGAGACUAGCUUGGAACUAGAGGUAAGGGGUUUAACUUGGGAUAUAAUAUGGUGUAUGAUGGGUAGAAGGUAACAUGAUAAC